ensembl:lncRNA CRYBB2P1 crystallin beta B2 pseudogene 1
GCGUGGCGUGGAGUCCAGAAUGAGAAGAAGGAAAGCGGGGCCGGUUCCUUCAGGACCCGCCUCAGGGGGCACCGCGGCGGCUUGGGGACCACUUGGAGCCCCGUCCUGGGGAGAAAACAGCUCACGUCUAUGGCCCUGACUGCUUAGGCGGGAGCUGCGUGCAGCUCAGCUUCUCCGGGGCAUUUUUUUCUACACGCUGGGUGAGCUAUGAACAGGCCAACUGCAAGGGCGAGCAGUUUGUGUUUGAGAAGGGCGAGUACGCCCACUGGGACUGGUGGACCAGCAGCCAGAGGACAGACUCAGCAGCCUGAGGCCCAUCAAAGUGGACAGCCAAGAGCACAAGAUCAUCCUCUAUGAAAACCCCAACUUCACCGGGAAGAAGAUGGAAAUCAUAGAUGACGAUGUACCCAGCUUCCACGCCCAUGGCUACCAGGAGAAGGUGUCAUCUGUGUGGGUGCGGAGUGGCAUGUGGGUUGGCUACUAGUACCCUGGCUACCGUGGGCUGCAGUACCUGCUGGAGAAGGGAGACUACAAGGACAGCAGCGACUUUGGGGCCCGUCACCCUCAGGCCCAGUCCACAGGCUCAUGUCUGGGGCCCCGGGGGAGUGAGGGCAGCAAAGAAGAACAGACAAUGGGCUCCACGCAGACCUCUGCAACACACUGGAGCCUGAGCCCAAUGCUGCACGACCCAUCAACUACAAGAAGGAGGGAGAAGGUGUAUGACCCCCCCUACACCCGCAACUCUCCCAUGAUCUCCAUGGAGACCCAAAGAUAUACACUGCAGCACCCAGCAAAGAUGUGGUACUUGGUGUUGGAGUGUGGAUAUGAGUCAUGGAACUCUGGGGCUAUGUUGCUGCCAGGUAAGAAUCUGUUCUAGGAAGGAUAAAAUCAAUGGACAUAGAAAGGCAGACUGGAGAAGGGAAAGGGAGCUGAGCCCUGCUGAUAGAGUAAACCUCUGGAUUAAACUAUGCCUGAAGCCCA